rnacentral:rRNA from 1 species
GACGAACGCUGGCGGCGUGCCUAACACAUGCAAGUCGAGCGGGAACCUCAGGAGGGGUAACCCUUCUGAGGGGAGAGCGGCGAACGGGUGAGUAACACGUGGGCAACCUGCCCCGGACAC